rnacentral:rRNA from 1 species
AUUAUUUUAAGCUGUGUAUUGGUAGUAAUUAAAAUUUAUGAAAUCAAAAAAUUUUGGCGGUAUUUUAAGCUUAUUAGAGGAAUUUGCUCUGUGAUGGACACAACGCCUAGAUCUUACUUAAUUUAGUAAUUUAAGUCAGUUUGUAUACCACUAUAUUUAAUUAUAUUAAGUAAUAAUAUUUAAGAUUUUUAUUUAAAAAAUAUAUUAAGUCAAGGUGCAACAUAUAAUUAUGAAUGAGGUGAAUUACAUUAAUUUUAAUGUUGUUAUAAUACUGAAAAAAGUUUACAGGAUUUAAUAGUAAAAUACUAAUAUAAUGAGUAUUUGAAUAGAGCUCUAAAAUAUGCAC